GUUUAAUUCAAAUGUUAACAGGGUAAAGAUAAAUUAAGGAGAAGCUUCUGAAACUAGCACCACUUUGGAUCCAAAUUUUGUAGAGAUCCUUGCUCGAAUACUGAUGCAUGAACAAUGUCACCUUUUGAAUAUAGCUAAGUAUUCAUCUUGGACAACGGAGGAGAGGUAUUUGUCUUUGAUCUGGUUGCAUGCUUAUGGAAACAAACAAAGCUUUCAUCACCCAAGUGCUACAUUUUAGGUUCUACUGCUUCCGAUUUACUUGCGAAGCUAUUUAUAUCAUACUUUUUCUUUAAUCUUCCAAAAGGGUGGCUGUACUUAUUAUUUUAUCACAAGACUAAACUACUUAAGAUUAGUAAAUGCUCAAAUUAUUCAACCUUCGAAGGAAAAAUCUUAUAUCAUGUCUUGUAUUUGUAUUCAUCUAUUCAUUGAUGGCUUUCUGGUUAUCAAUUAAAUGAAACUUUGAUGAAUUUAUAUGUUGCCAAAACCAAGUGGUAUCAAAAGCCUA